GUGAGGAAUAUUGGUCAAUGGGCGAGAGCCUGAACCAGCCAAGUCGCGUGAAGGAAGAAGGAUCUAUGGUUCGUAAACUUCUUUUGCAGGGGAAUAAAGUGCAGGACGUGUCCUGUUUUGUAUGUACCCUGAGAAUAAGGAUCGGCUAACUCCGUGCCAGCAGCCGCGGUAAUACAGAGGAUCCGAGCGUUAUCCGGAUUUAUUGGGUUUAAAGGGUGCGUAGGUGGUUUGAUAAGUCAGCGGUGAAAGUUUGCAGCUUAACUGUAAAAAUGCCGUUGAAACUGUCGGACUUGAGUGUAAAUGAGGUAGGCGGAAUGCGUGGUGUAGCGGUGAAAUGCAUAGAUAUCACGCAGAACUCCGAUUGCGAAGGCAGCUUACUAAGCUACAACUGACACUGAAGCACGAAAGCGUGGGGAUCAAACAGGAUUAGAAACCCGGGUAGUCC
rnacentral:rRNA from 1 species